CCUACGGGUGGCAGCAGUGAGGAAUAUUGGUCAAUGGCCGGGAGGCUGAACCAGCCAAGUCGCGUGAGGGAAGACGGCCCUACGGGUUGUAAACCUCUUUUGUCAGGGAGCAAGGUGCAGGUCGGGACCUGCUGUGAGAGUACCUGAAGAAAAAGCAUCGGCUAACUCCGUGCCAGCAGCCGCGGUAAUACGGAGGAUGCGAGCGUUAUCCGGAUUUAUUGGGUUUAAAGGGUGCGUAGGCGGAAUAUCAAGUCAGCGGUAAAAAUUCGGGGCUCAACCCCGUCGUGCCGUUGAAACUGAUGUUCUUGAGUGGGCGAGAAGUAUGCGGAAUGCGUGGUGUAGCGGUGAAAUGCAUAGAUAUCACGCAGAACUCCGAUUGCGAAGACAGCAUACCAAGCCAUGACUGACGCUGAUGCACGAAAGCGUGGGGAUCAAACAGGAUUAGAUACCCGAGUAGUC
rnacentral:rRNA from 1 species